GCAAGUCGAACGAGAAGCAUUUCUUCGGAGAUGCGGACAGUGGCGAACGGGUGCGUAACGCGUGGGAACUUACCGUAUAGUGGGGGACAACAGUUGGAAACGACUGCUAAUACCGCAUACGCCCGAAAGGGGAAAGCUUUAGUGCUAUAUGAUAGGCCCGCGUUAGAUUAGCUAGUUGGUAAGGUAAUGGCUUACCAAGGCGACGAUCCGUAGCUGGUCUGAGAGGAUGAUC
rnacentral:rRNA from 1 species